AAAAUAUCUCGUUUUAACCAAAUGUAAAGUGUCAGUGAACGGAUAUCAAAAUUAUAUCUAAAGGGAAAAACCCUUGGCUUUGGGGUUGUUCCAAACUUCUGAGUGAUGAUUUCUGCUGACAUAACGAUAAAUCCUUCAAAUCCGCUCAAACAUUUUUGAGUGAAGUCAAACAUUUCCAGCCUAUAAAGCCCCGUCUUGCUGCUGGAAAGAAGCCAGGGCAUGUGUCCGUGUUUACCUCACAUGCACCGGGUCGCAUCCUCCUUUCACGCUGAUGUCAGAUUGGCACGACACAUGUGUUACGCCACGGUGCCAUGCAAGCUGACGGGAAAGAGUGUGAGAAAAACAGACUCUGGAAGAUGUUUUCCCCUGGUUUUCACAACCCUUGGCCCUCCUUCACGUCCCCUGCACUCAUUUAUUCUUUUUUCCUCGGCUUGAACACAUCAAGGAUGAAAGAGAGGGUUACAUCACCGUUUUGAUAAUUGGCGUCUUAUAUUUCUGGGGGACUCUUAAAACUGGGGGGAAAAUAUGUGCCAAUGUUCAACUGGCAUCUGAUUCUGAUUUGGUUUUUGAUCCCCAAAUCUAUUUUGUGGGCUUAAGGUUGUAAACAGUAAAAAUAAAAGUAAACGAAUAUUAAUAAGAGGCCAGAAAACCUGGAGAGACCAGGCAGCUCUGUUUUAAAAGUUCUUCUCAUACAUCAACAUUCACAUAUAUUAAAUUAACAGGACGUAACGGAAUCAAAUACUGCACUUAUUGAAAUACGCUGUUCGUCACCAAUCUAAAAUGUCCGUUCUUUUUACUUGUUUUUUGCGGAAACAGUAUAUAAAUCAGUAUGCCACUUACCUGAAGACAAGGGAAACAUAAAGCUGAAUAUUUGCAUUCAAAAGUGUAACUUUCCCCAAAUAAUUUCAAUGGGGCUAAUUUGAAUUUAUGGAGAAACACUCAGCACUGAAUUGCAAAGUUGCUGGUAAUGAAAUCAUCCAGCGGUAGAGACGGUGGGAGCCGCUCCUGCACGCAGUAGGUGGGGGUAGUUAUAGAGGUGCAGGUGGGGGAUGGAGGUGCUCAUAGUGCCCUGUGGAGGCAUUAGUGUGGACGGGUCAUUACAUCAGGGAUGGGAGAGGAGAACACACACCACUGAGCAGCCCAUGUCAUUUACUGAGGCCAUCAGGGCCCAUAGCACACUAUAACAUUCACUGCUUCAUUUCCCUCGAGCUAUCACUCUUUUUUUCUUCCCCUUUUUUUUUUUAAAUGAAGCGACGUCGAUGUUCAGAGAGAGAGAUAGAGUUUGCAAGUCACACAAGUAACAUUUUCAGUUUAGUUUGAUCUUUUUGGAAAAAUGCGGAGGAAUUCAGUUUGUUUAGGUCCAGCGCAAAUAUAUUUGCCAUAUAAUUGUGUAGCCUGCAUCGACUAAUGGUAUCGUUCAAGAAAAACACAUUUUUUUUUGCACUUUGUACUUAGACUGCGAGUGCAGUUUCUCCGAAAGUAACAGUGACCCUUUUUAUCAAAGAAACAGAGGAUGGCCAUGAAUAUUCAUGCAUCCCGAUAUUAAAACUUUCACUAAUCAAGUACUUAUUUUAAUUCCUUUUUCUGAAUACCAGAAGCAAACUUUAUUAAUUCACUAUUAUCAAAAAUCUGUUCAGGCAUAGUGAAAUAUCACCACCUUCUGCUCCUUUGCAGCAAAUGUAUUACUAACAGCAAAUGUAUUACUAAUAUAUAUAUUUGUAGCUUAGGGUUGGUAUAAUUUUAGAAAUGUUUUUGGAAAAAUUCCCUUAUACUCAUCAAGGCUGCAUUUACUUGAUCACAAAUACAGUGAAAUAAUAUUAAAUAUUGUAAAAAAUUAUAUAUAUAUAUAUAUAUAUAUGUAUAUAUAUAUAUAUAUAUAUAUAUAUAUAUAUAUAUAUAUAUAUAUAUAUAUAUAUAUAUACACACGCAGCAUUCAUUAAGACACUUUUUGUCAAAGAAAUAGUGGACGGCCAUCACAGCCAUGAAUAUUUGCAAAUACAAAUACAAAAACACUUCAGUUACAUACAUAACCUUAAUAAAGUAUUUAUUUCAAUUCCUUUCCUGAUAUCAGAAGCAAACCAUGUUUAAUGCAUUAUUAAAAAUCUGUGCAGGCAAAAUAAAAUAUCACCAUCUUCUUUAUAAAAGUUUGGGGUUGGUCAAAAAUAUAGUAAAAGCAAUAACAUUGUUAAAUAUUGUACACGACACAACAAUACACAACAUUAAGACAGUUCACUGUGACCCUUUUUGUCAAAGAAAUAGAGGACGGCCAUCAAAGACAUGAAUAUUCGCACAUCCAAAUAUAAAAACCCUCUGCUACGCGCGUCCCCUUAAUCAAGUACUUAUUUUAAUUCAUUUCCUUGCAGGGUUUUAUUAGUAUGCUAGCUGUUGGCUAAAUGAUUAUGACAAGGCUGCGUUUUCACUGAUUCUGCCAAGAUAAAAAUACACAGGAAAGCCCAGCAACCGAGCUCAAAAACCUGUCUCCGGUAUCCCUACAGGGAGAUGACCUUGGCCAUUAAGGACAUUCACAGUUUUGUUUAGGAAUAAAAUGACAGAAAGCAGAAAAAUAUGAAGUGCCUCCUUGAGAGGAAUCGUUUGUUGUGGGCUAAAUUAUGCAGCACAUCAUUAUUUGGUGGCAUUACUAUUAUGAGCUGUUUAUGUCUCUGACCUUAAUAUUUGCACUGUUUUGGUGUAAUGUAAGCAAUUCUCUCUCUCCCGCUCCGGCCUAGACUGCAAAAGCAGUCUCUUUUGCAUUUAAGUAUGAUGGCUUGAUUGUUUUAAAGAAUAAUAUACAGAGCCAAAUACGCAUACCACAACAAUCCUGAAUCAAUAAAGACCUCACAGUAAUCAACACAGGACGAAUAUACGCUACUGUGAAGUGUAUAAAAAUAUAAAACUGCAUUUCACAGUAUGUGAUACACGUUUUAUGUGGUAAAUAUAGCUGCUGCGGGCGGGUACGGCCCUGCACUUCCCUUUAUAUCUGUGCACUCAGGUUCUGAAUGGCUCUGGGACUGGCGAGCCUGCAGAGAUGCAGCCAAGCGCUUGGCCGGCUGAAUUUGUUUGACUCAGGUAAUUGAAAGUGUUUUAAACUAUUAUAGCAACUUGAGGGCUUGUUUAAGUGUCGAGCUGUCUGUCAAACAUACAUGGGUGGAAAGCAUUGGCCUGCCACCCUGUCAGUCACGGGAAACGAGAAGUGUCGGCCUAAUGGAUUUCUUCAGGCGGACGUCGGCGCGGCGGCAGAAGUAAAAUCAAUGUGUUGUCAUGUGUGAGAGCAGAGCAUCAAACGGGCAGGUGAAUUGGAACUGUAGUUUAGUUGUAACGUCUACAUUUGCGGGGAGGCGGCCGGAGACAGACAGAUGCUGAGAGACCGUGGAAGGCCUCUUGUUUUGAUUGCCAGCGUGAGAGGGGUGCUUGACCUGUUUCUUUCUGGGGGGGUUUUCGCGCUGCGUUCUGUGGCUCUUUCCCUUGCUGUUUGAUGGGGCUGGGCCGGCUACUGUGUGUGUUUAUGUCAUCACACUACAUGCUGCACGUGAGAGGGAGUGUGUUUACAGACUGAACGCGGAGAGCUGAGCGACGCUACAGUGCCGCUGAUUAAUUGUAGUGAUGAUCUGAACUUACGGAUUCAAAUCUGGGCUGUCUGGUGUGUGUGUGUUUACUUUAUAGCAGCAGUACUGUAGCCACAUUUAGGAGCUGUACUGCCUCUAUAGGAAAUUCAGAGUAAUUGAAAAAGUGCCUGGAAAAAAACAUGACAACUCGAAAACAAUACAACUUUAAAAAUACUGUGCAUUACGCUUACCCGUAUAGCCGCUUAUAGUCCACCGACCAAUUGAUUCAUAUACCCCCAAAUAUGAUUAUACCUUUUUGAAAGACCCACUUCUUGAAAGUGUAUAUUUUAAGACUCUUCUCUUUUUACUGUGUGAGCAAAAAGUAAUUGAAAAAUUCUGAAGAGAUUGUUAUUUAUGGCUUUAAUUGCUGGCAUUUACGUAGUCAAUGCACUAAAGCAAGCAUAGAUAGAUAGCAUUAAAUUGAUCAAAAGUGACAGUAAAGACAUUUAUAAUGUUAAAAAAAGACACCUGUUUUAAAUAAAUGAUGUUCUCUAGAACUUGCUUUCCAAGAAUCCUAAAAAAAAUAAAAUUAAAAUAAUCAUCAUCAGGCGUUCCGAUAAUAAGAAACCUGUUAACAAAAGUGUAUAUGUUAUAUGGAAAAUAUUAUUUUAAUCUAAUUACUUUUUGUCAUUUAUUAUUUAUUUAUUUAUAUAUAUCAUUUAUUUAUUUAUGAAAUGUAUUAUUUUUUUUUACAUCUUGAAAUUUCCCAUGGUCCCCCUGUUAAGGCCCCCAACCCCUGAUAUUGAACACAGGUGCACUUUUUUUCAGUCCUGAAAAUAAAGUUGUGUUUACAAGAUACUAAUUUGAUAUAAUGAGCAUUUUUGUUUUUCUGUUUAAGUGAGCAAUUGUUGAUCAGUAUAAACUGUAAUAUGGACCACACUUUAUCCAUAGCCACUUUAUCCACUUAAAUGCAAAUGCACUUUUUUUACAUUUUUACUUCCCCGUUGCUGCUAGUAUUAUGAAAAACAUGCCCUUAUUUAAUGACACAAGAUGCAGGAUAAUCACCAGAUUAUGCAAAUAAAUGUACAUGUUAUACAUGUUCUAAUGGCUUCUGUUAAUCAAAUCCAUUAUCAUUAUGUAAUUAAAACGGUUCACUGUUUGACACAAACACUGUAUUGCACACCUGAGAUUAUUCCCAGAUGGCUGUGAUUUUAACCAGACACCCACACACAUUCCCUGAGUUCCAAACGGCCCAAUCUGGACCAGUUGCCCCUGUCAUAACCCAUAAUGAGGGACCUGACAGCACAAAAAGUGUGGUUUCUUUUGUAAAAGUGUAUGAGAACGCAGCAAAUGGGAACCUGAAGAGUGAAUCUUAGCUCCCAUGUUUCUCCAUAAAACAGAUCGUGUUGGUUUAAUUUGUCAUAUUGUAACUUUGCAUUUCUAUUUCAGAAACAUCUGUUAGAAGACAAAAAUCAUAUUAGGCUUUGUUUUACAAGA
rnacentral:lncRNA from 1 species